GAUUACGGCCAUAUCCACGGAAAAGCACCGGAACUCGUCAGAUCUCCGAAGUUAAGCCCGUGCGAGCCUGGGUAGUACUGAGAAGGGAGACCGCUCGGGAAUACCGGGUGCCGUAAUCU
rnacentral:rRNA from 14 species